rnacentral:rRNA from 1 species
GAUGAACGCUGGCGGCGUGCUUAACACAUGCAAGUCGAACGGACUUAAGAUGAAACCUAGUGAUUCUUAAGUUAGUGGCGGACGGGUGAGUAACGCGUGGGUAACCUGCCUUGUACAGGGGGAUAACACUUAGAAAUAGGUGCUAAUACCGCAUAAGCGCACGGUGUCGCAUGACACAGUGUGAAAAACUCCGGUGGUACAAGAUGGACCCGCGUCUGAUUAGCUAGUUGGUGAGGUAACGGCCCACCAAGGCGACGAUCAGUAGCCGGCCUGAGAGGGUGAACGGCCACAUUGGGACUGAGACACGGCCCAAACUCCUACGGGAGGCAGCAGUGGGGAAUAUUGCACAAUGGGGGAAACCCUGAUGCAGCAACGCCGCGUGAGUGAUGACGGCCUCGGUUGUAAGCUCUGUCUUCAGGGACGAGUAAUGACGGUACCGUGAGGAGGAAGCCGACGGCUAACUACGUGCCAGCAGCC